rnacentral:lncRNA from 1 species
GAUUGAUCCGUGGCGCGCAAUGAAUGCAAUGAUGCAAGUGCUCUAAGCGGUCAAAACGGUCAAAGCUGGUAGCGGCGCGGCGGCAGCGAAUGGCAGAGGCACUUUCUUACUGCGUCAUCAAAAUGGCCGCUGAAAAAGCGACCUACUCCAUUCGCUGGGAGUGCGAAAAAAAGGAAAAAAAAACAUCAACAUAACAUUGCUCGCCAUCUUCCAGCCGCUUGUCAUAUGAAAGCUCGAAAGCUCGUGUUUCGGUGAGACGUUUUACCUUUGCGCAUGUCAACUCUCCGCUGAGCUUGCGGCAGAUUUGAAUUAUUACCGGUGAAAGUUCAGUGCUCAGUGACCAACAGUGAUUAAGUGUAAAACAGCGCGUAAGUGUUUUUCUUUUCCUCUUGGAUAAUUUCCCUUCGACUCCCAAUAUUCGUCUCCUACCAGCAUUGAAGUAUCCGAAGAACUCGGGGAACGAGAGCAACGGAGGCAGUCGCCAAAGCAGUGGCAGCGACCGUAGUAGCGGAAGCAACCGUAGCAGCGGCAGCAAUGGCGGCAACGGCACUCCUAGCGGUAGCGGAACCGGGGGUAGCGGAACCGGUGGUAGCGGAAGCGGGGGCAGCGGCGGCGCAAACCAAGGCACGGACGAGUACGUGGAAAUAAUCGACCCAGAAGAAGUUGAAGGAAUAUGGCAAGGUCACAGGACGAAUCUGAAGGCCUGCGACGACCAAGACGACUGUGCUCAUCCCCAUUCCAGGCGCUUGGCGAAACAAAACUGUGAGGAAGCCUUGACUCACUUCAAACAUAUAACUGGGGCUGAGCAAGAGCGACACUGCAAGGACGCCAAGGACGCGGAUUGUCGGGUGUGCGAGGGAAUGGCCCCGGACAGGAUGUGCUGCACCUUCAUGUGCCGCUACAACCAACAGGACAACCAACGGCGAUUGGAACAAGGACAUUAUCCGAGCAGAGCAUUCAGGGCUAAGCCGCUCCAUCACAUAGUUAGGGGUUUGGGUCUAUAAGACGCUUCCAAGACCAGCGCCACUUUUUGCCGUCGUGAUGGAGAGAGCCUAGUAACUUUAAAAUUUUCAAGUUCGAGUUUCCUUCGAAAUUCGUCUGAUCUAACAAUAAGUAAUUUAGUUGAAAUCCCUGAUUCAGCUAAAACAGGAAAAUUCAUCCAUUUUGUACAAAAACGAGACCUAUGAUGUAAAUGUGCAAAAAUUGACAUGUUAUUUCAGACAGAACCGCCGUUAGGGGUAUUAUUCCACCAGAAAGCCAACGAGAGCUGUACUUCCAAGCGAAAUGUUUUUGCAGCAUGCUU